rnacentral:tRNA from 1 species
UCCCUGGUGGUCCAGUGGCUACACCUCUGAGUUCUCAAUGCAGAGGACCCAGGUUUGAUCCCUGGUCAGGGAA